GUGCUCACUUCAGCAGCACAUUUACUAAAUUGGAAUGAUAUAGAGAAGAUUAGCAUGCCCCCUGCACAGGGAUGAUAUGCCAAUUUGUGAAGCAUUCCAUACUUUU
rnacentral:snRNA from 1 species